rnacentral:rRNA from 1 species
UACAGAGGAUGCAAGCGUUAUCCGGAAUGAUUGGGCGUAAAGCGUCUGUAGGUGGCUUUUUAAGUCCGCCGUCAAAUCCCAGGGCUCAACUCUGGACAGGCGGUGGAAACUACCAAGCUGGAGUACGGUAGGGGCAGAGGGAAUUUCCGGUGGAGCGGUGAAAUGCGCAGAUAUCAGGAAGAACACCCGUGGCGAAAGCGGCUCUCUGGGACGGUACUGACGCUGAGACGCGAAAGCGUGGGGAGCGAACAGG